GGUUGGCAUGUUGGUUUGUGGUUUGCAAUUAAGCAUUAUUGUGAUCUAGGAAAUGGAGACAUGGUUGUCUGACCAUUCCAGGUGAGUGGAUGUCAACCAUAGACUGUGUAUAGAAUGGACACCAUCUGCCUCCUUGCAGAGUAAAGCCACUGUGAGAACAGCACCCUCUGUUGGCGGGCUGCAGUAUAGGUCAUAAAUCCCGCCUCCGCCAGCAAAGCUUAUGGAGCUGUGGACAAACUUUAGAAAUUUAUUACACAGAAUAUAAAUUUUUCUCCUCCCCGCUUGUGACGUUGACAUGUAGUUAUUGUAAGACUGCUUUGUGCUCAAGUCCUCUUUCUCUUUUUUCUGUCCUGUCCAGUUUCAAAAGUUAUUAGGAGGUUCAUGUUUUCUAUGAUUGACACUUUAUACAGCCUAUGGGCAUACAAAAUUGCGUAGCCCACCCAGGGAUAUACUGUUUGAGCUGAGUGUCAUCACAGUGACUCUCAGCGACUCUCCUGCCGAAUGUCUACAUUGCUACUGCAAGUGGUGGGAUGCGUACAAAGCUACUGCGCAAGUGGUGGUUCCAGGAAGUGGAGUAAACCCCGGAAAUAUUGAGAGCAAUUCGGCUUCAAAUUUGUAAAAUGAUGGAAGGUGGAGCCAAGUUGUCCAUAGUAUAUACAGUCUAUGAUAUCCCUAACUUGCAGAGAAAACUGAAAGCUGGUGAUGCUAGCUCUGCUAGUAUUAGCCACACCUAGCUAACCAAACGGGGGUGUUUACCUGCAGACUCUUGAAUAUUAUGCUUAGCUGUGUUGAAUAAAUUGUACUCAGUUUUAAGUCUUUUCAGAGGUUUUUUUUUUUUUUUUUCAGACAUGUUAGCUUGUUAGUUUUCUCAGAAGUUCAACCCUGCUCAACACCCUUGACCUUGUUAAUACCAAAUUUAGCAUACUAUCUUAUCUCUGUCAUAGAUAAUAAGUGCUUGGGUUGGCUACACAGCAUCUCAUAGUAAAAUAUCUACAUAAAUUGAUAUAUGACAAAACGAAUGAUUAGAAAAGUCAAAAGUGGGUUAUUGAAGAUUAGGACUUGAAGGUAAUUCAACAUUUAAACUACUGUCUUUCACGAUUAAAUUAGCUGUUUUGUCUCAGGAUGUUCAUUAUUUCUUUGAAACUAACAUUAAAAAAUCAUUGCACUUAACAAUUAACACUAAGUAUAAAUACCACAAUUACUCCGACAAUAGUUAAGAAUAAUAACACUUAUUUUGUAUCAUGUCAGCUCAGAUUAAUGAUUGGUGUGACAUCUCUGGGAGGUAGACCAGAAGUUUAGUGUUUUAUGUUAGUGCUGGCUCAGGCAUUUCUUGGACUGCUUACAGCUCUGUAAGAUCUGCUAAUAAUGGUAUGGUUGGUGCAUGAUGAGGCAAAAAAGUGUCACAUGAAUAAAGUGCCGUAUUGCUUAAGUAGCUUGCUGAGACUUUAAGUGUGUGGGGCUAGUUGGCCUUGUUGACUAGCUAUAACAACUGAGCUGUUCGACAAAGGUGUGAUUUCAUUUGACCCUCAGAGGUGGAGAACCUUAAGUUGUGAUCUUUUUUUUUAUCACCAAUUGCAGCCUUCAUAUAUGAAUCUGCUGCUUUGAUUUAGUGACAGAUCACUGUUAGAAAAAUAAGGAACGCUUUACAAAAAACUUGAAAUUAUGGUCUGUUAUCCUUUGAGAACACUACCUUAUGUAACUUCUGCAAUAGACCUGGUCCUAAUGGGCCCUCACACAUGUUCCAUUCCCCUCUCUUUUCCCAUCUUCCACCUUAAAACAAGCUGCAGUUACUCCACCAGCGCGCUGUAAACCUGCAGUAAAACUGUGGCCUGGCCCUUAUGUGCAGUAUGGGUAAUGCUCCAUAUACUUUAAUAGUACUUUGGACCAGACCAUAUAUUUCUCUUCUUAUGUGAAAUUUAAAAAGCCCUUGUUGUUUGUGGACCAGCUUGUAAUUUUGCUGUACUCUAUGUGUGUUAAUCAAUACCAUGUUCAGUUACAGAGCAGCAUAGAUGUCAGUUUGUCCGGUUUGGUCAUCACAUAGCUGUAGAUCAAACAUAUUCAGAAUUUCUCUUUCCCCUGAAUAAUUCAUACUUUUGUUAAUGAAGCAAACACAACAGUAGACUCUUUCACGCAAGGUGGAGUGUUCACCCCCCCAUUACUCCAAAUCUGCAGGGGUUGUUCCACCGUUGCACUCCUAAGAAGUAAUAACUAGGGACAAAUGGGGAGAAGAUACAAUCUAUGUAAAGUGUCAGAGCAAGCAGGGCAGAACAGCGCUGUGUGUAUGAGCAUGUCAUCCAUAAUGCAGUGAUUGGACACCAAUAUUACGUUGUUGUAGAGUGCAAUGUGUAAAGUAAGUAUGUUUUGAUGACGGUACAACCCCAUGGUGGAAGUACUGCGUUUAAGAAGUUACUUUUGGUAAUUUGGCAACAAAUAAACACUGAAAUAAAGAUAUGGGAUAUGAAUUGCAAAAAAAUCUGGAAGCUAUUAUAUACCGAAGACUUUAGCAGUUUUGCGAAGAAGAGUUUACUUUGGUGGAAUUCAGAGGAACAGCACUGUCGAUCACAAUAAUUUACGGCUCCAGUGCAUGAUAUGUGAUGAUACAUUACAUGGAUUCCUGACAGGCCAACUUUUAUCCUUUUACCAUUCAGAGCACACAGGACUGAUUCUGUAACCCUGCACCACACGAUCUGAUGCUAACCAUCUCUUACAAAUUUCAUAACAACACAAGAGGAUAGGUCUUUCACCACCGCAACCACUAAACACUCUUGGAAUUAGAUCCAAAUGUGGUAAUAGACAACAUGUAUUUGGGAGAGCGGAUGUAACCCCGGUGGACCGCCACAUGAUACUGACGAUCAGUGCAAAGUUGCGGUUGGAGCAGAUGUCUAAACACACAACAGUGUUGACAGGCCGAGACCCAAUGUUUACAAUUGCUGGAGGGAAGGAUGCUGCUUUUUGGUUGUGAAGAAAAUAUGACUGUGUGUACAAAUUUAGAUUGGCCCUUGUAGAAAGACUCUCAGCAAGAAUCUGUUGUACAUAUUGUAAAAACACUGAACAGGAUUUGUGCAGGGAUCCUUCUGAAGAUUGACUGGGCUCCCAUUUGGGGUUAAUCAGGUGAUGUACAUCAGAAUGAGAUGCUAAGGCAACAUAUAUAGUGGUUGAUCAGAUCACAUAUAACACACUGGGGGAAAAUAUCUCCACAGCAACUUAAACUAACACAAUGAAACCCUGACCCCCCCCCCCCCAAUCCCCUCGUAAUAUAAGAGCUCUUGGUCCAGUCUGUAGGAUGGGCUUCAGCAUAAAGAUAUGCUCCGCCCCCAUCCUUGUCAUUAAGAGAAAGAAUUUAUACAAAGAAAUAACAAUGUAGACUAAACGUGUUCUCUGUAACUCAGAGUGAGUGAAUAUAUGGUAAUGGUGUUUGUAAGUGUGUAAAUGCAACAACCUCUGUAUGGCUGUGGGCACGGCCAUCUCAAACUGACUUCACUGAUUGUUGAAAGCUUAGUUUUUCUGGCAAAUAUUUUCCCAGCUUCAAAUAUUCCAAUUUAUAAGCAGCGCUCUUCCCUUUCUGUUUGAAGUUUUAACCAAAGAGGAAGGACAUUUUAUUCCAUCUGCCAUCUGUUUAUUGAAACACUUUUUUUUUUUUUUUUUUUAGUCCUGCCAGAAAAAGGUCAGCCAGGUUUAAAGCUUGAUCAUUUCACCUGUCUAGCCUUGGCUACUCUGAGGAAGGAAGUUGCAUGUGUAAAAUUGCUUUAAUGGAAACAAUCCAAGAAGAGUUUGUGGUUUUAGUCUGCUGAAGGAAUGCUGUAUUGGUGUUGUGAAUUUCCAAGACCUUCUUUUCAAAAUCCCGAGCUCUCUGCACUGUUUUACAUUUAUAUAGGCGCAUUUUGAAGAUACAAACACAACUGCAGAUUCAUCCAUAUUCAUUACACAGUCCCUGAUUUGUGAUUACACGUGUGCAACAUUGUUUUUCUCUUAGAAGAGGUUAUCUCUGUGUGUUUAAUUUUUUUUUUAAUCAUAUAAUCCUUCCUGUUGUCUAUAAGUGUCCUUCACUUGGCUUUUUUUCUUCCCUUAUUAGACUAACAAAACUGAAUGAUAAUUCUAGUACAGUUUUAAGGUUUUUAAAAAGGCAGUGUGUUGUAUAUCCAAGCAGGGGCAGUAUUUGGGAUCAGGUACGCCUUUUUUCCUUCAGCAACCAUGAUAUGUUCCAUUUUUUAGUAAUGAAGUUGAAUAUGACAAACAUUGUGAGUAAACAUAAUCUGAAAUUGUUUGAUUUAAACUUAGUGUAAUGAAAAACACAGUAAUCAUAACAUGUUUACAUUGUUGACCCUCAGUAAUCUCUGAAAUACAUAUUAUGUUACAGUGUACUUAUUCUGUAAUCUUCAGUGGAAUUUAAUGGAAAAUUCUAUUGUACUGACAGUAACCUUCAGAACCCCAGUGACCUCCAAAAGGUUUUUCCCUUAUUUUUUCACUCUGUCCGACUCAAGGGGAUAAUAUAAACAGCAGUCAUAGAGUCCUGAAUCUGCUGUCCUGGCUGUGGCUUCACAGGAAAUUGAUGUGGAGAGAAAUGGCUGAGUGGCAAACCUUUGCUAUUAGCUCAGUCAUCUAUGGUAGAGAUGAGUGCAGUCAGCAAAAAAAGGCUUCCUCACAGAGACUUUUAGAUUUUGCCAGACCGCCUCAGCUGCAGCCUGUUCACACCUUGUUGUCUUCAUCUACCUUGCCUCGCAGACAAUCACAGUGCAGAUUUCUCCUUUUUACACUCCUUUUCUUUUCUCCCAGCGCUGCUUUGGCCAGGAAGGCGCUUCACAACUCGUCUUGUGUGGCCACCCAAAAAGUGUGACUGAGUCCAAAGUUUUGCAGGAAAUCUGCUCAGCUAGUCCUUGGGUUUCCACAGGCUUGAGGAAAUGAGAUGGAGAAAGAGGAAGAAAGAGAGCGUGUGUGAUACAUGGAGCAACACAGACAAGAGAGAGUGAGAGCAGUGUGGAAGCAGAGAAUGAAACCUGAUUUAUUAUCACCAAAAAUCAACUACAGAUGUCAGCUCACAGAUUCUCGCUCUGCUGCCAAUUAUAGACACUCACGCAAAGAACGGCUCAGACCCAGACUCUUUAUACACACACACACUUUUACCAUGAAUUACGGCAUAGAUACCUGUUUGUGACUGGACACAAAUGAACAUGCACACCUGAGAGGUCACUCUUUUAAAUGUGAUUGAAAAAACAUGAGCUCCUGGACAUUUACACACCUGGAUUAUUUACCACCUCCC